rnacentral:lncRNA from 1 species
ACAAACAAGUAUCAAACAAGCUGAACUUAUAACUCAACUUUUCGAUUGCUGUAGCCAAGAUUGAUAACACAAGAGUGUUAAAAGAUGAUUAUGUAUAUUCAUUAGCAUUCAUCAGAAAUAUUAUUAAUAGUAAAAGGAAAAAAUAUUUUGGUACCAUUAAUAAAAUAAUUUUAAAGUUAUUUUUUCUUUAGAUCACAUUUGCUUGUCUAUACUUUAUAAUAUACAUAAUUUAUAAGUAUAUAAAUAUAUCAUCAUUAGAAGUAUCCUUGAACAGAUCACUCAAUAUCUCUGGGUUCUUAUAUCUCAUCUAUAAAACAGAUGGUUUUGAUUACAUAAUCUGCUCAGCCUGCUUGAAAAUUAUUUGAUCCUAGAGAUUCCUUUUUGGGCCUCUACGUCUACAUUUUUAAAACACUAUCAUCAGGCUUCUUUUACAUGUUUAAAAACAUUAAAGACCUGUAUUUUCUUUGGAAUUUGGACAGUUCAUUUCCCCCUGCCAGAGGUCAAUCUCAAAGUUACACAAGUAUCCCUUGAGGUAAAAAAAGGUUUUUUUUUUUCUACCAGAGGCAAGAAGACCAGUUAGCACUACUAGCAGCACUAUGAUCAGGGGAGGCGCAGUGGGGUGAUGACAGAGGAAUUUGCUUUGAAGGAAGGAAUGACAAAACCUGGUGAAAGGUUGGGCUCUAAGGGACUUCGCAGAGAGAAGAGCUGAAGAUAAUUUAGGGGAUUUUAGCUUUGGAGAUUAGGAAAAGAAUGGUAUUAUGGACAGGUCUAUGGACACAUUGAAAGGACUCCGGUGUGUGACAGGAGAAGGUUGAACCCCAUUGCAAAAGCUAAAUUUGAGGUAAUUCUGGUGCAUCUAGUUAUGAUUUUUCUCUACUUUAUUAAAAAAUAAAGCACAGAUUAGGGGAAAAAUAGAUGAAUAUCUGGAAUGGAUAAAGAUCAUGUACAAAUCAAUAGAAAAAAAAAAUACAUUUCCAAUAGAAAAAUGGGCAAAGACAAUGGCCAUUCUAAGCCAGGCAUAGACCAAAGACGACACCUCGAUGACCAAUGUGAAAAAUGCUCAGCCACAUAAGUAAUUUAAGAGAUGUUGAAAUUUAAUAACUUGUGAUAAAGAUUAUCAGGAUAGAGUUUAGCGGUAAUUAUGUCUCUUCUUUGGAGCAAAUGGUCCUUUUCUUUUUUUUCUUUUUCUUGCCUUUUUAUGGCCAAACCUGGGCAUGUGGAAAUUUCUGGGCUAGGGGUGGAAUUGGAGGCAAGCGCAUCUGUGACCUACAUCCACAGCUCACAGGCAAUGCCAGAUCCUUAACCCACUGAGUGAGGCCAGGGAUCAAACCCGCAUCGUCAUGGAUACUAGUUGGGUUCCUAACCCACUGAGCCACAGUGGUAACUCCGGGUCCUUUUCUAUUACAGGAUUAGACUUGAAUGUGCUUAGAAUGUCCUUCAAAGCUCUGACUGUGUGCUCUGGCUCACAGAGACCCUGAGAGGGAAAGGGAGGCGGAAAGCCUGGCUGGAGCACAGUGGGUGGAUAUAACUUAACAGGUGGUCCAAAAUGUGAUGAGAAGAGCUCUGACAGUUGGAAGAAAUAAAUGGUGACUACAUCAAGGAUCCAUUAAGACAGUAAUCCCAUGGAGUUCCCGUCGUGGCGCAGUGGUUAACGAAUCCGACUAGGAACCAUGAGGUUGCGGGUUCAGUCCCUGCCCUUGCUCAGUGGGUUAACGAUUCGGCGUUGCCCUGAGCUGUGGUGUAGGUUGCAGAAGCGGCUCGGAUCCCGCGUUGCUGUGGCUCUGGCGUAGGCUGGUGGCUACAGCUCCGAUUCAACCCCUAGCCUGGGAACCUCCAUAUGCCGCGGGAGUGGCCCAAGAAAUAGCAACAACAACAACACAAAGACAAAAAGACAAAAAAAAAAGACAGUAAUCCCAUGGUAUCUGGAGAAGUUGAGAAAGCCCCAGAUAAAUACUGAAAAGCAUCAAAAGUGCACAAUUUUAGGUACGUGAGUAUGGAAGAUAAAGUCUGUCAUGUACACUCUAAUAUUUAAGAAAAGGGACUUGUUUUGAAAAUCCUAGAGGAUGCCCCAGUAAUGCAGUCGAUCAUCAGCAGAAAUAGCAGAAUUUCUCCAACUCUAUUUGGAAUUUAUAGAGGAAAUUAAGGAACAAGAGCAAUGAUGAAGUAACUUGAUUUUACCAAAUUCAUGACUUAUUGCGUAUCAAUAAUUUUAUGACAAGUCUUAACUCUGUAGUAGGAGUCCAGUGAAUUUUCAGUCUCUUAGAGAUGGAUGUCUUGUUACUCCUCCCAAGGCUCUUUCAACCCCAACUGAGUUUAUGACAAUGAGGUGACUUUGGGAAAUGACUCAGAAAUGGGCCUGCUGGUUGCCAGGAGAUCCAAGCCUGAAUAGACCAUACUUUCACUCCCACCUCCUGAUUUCCAGGGAGAGAGGCUGGAGCUUGAAUCAAUCAUAGAUGUCAGAGUUCCCGUCGUGGCUCAGUUGAAACGAAUUCUCAGCUGCGGCCCUGAAAAACAAACAAACCUCAGGUGCGGCCCUAAAAAACAAAAAAAUCAUCGAUGCCAACAAUUUCAUCAGUGAUGCCUGUGUAAUGAAGUCUCCAUAAAAACCCAUAAAGAGGAGGUUCAUAGAGUUCCUGUCGUGGCUUAGGGCUGAUGAACCCAACUAGUAUCCAUGAGGACUCAGGAUCCGGCAUUGCUGUGGCUGUGGUGUAGGCUGGUGGCUCAGCUUUGAUUCAGCCCCUAGCCUGGGAUCUUCCAUAUGCCACGAAUUCGGCCCUAAAAAGCUAAAAUAAUAAUAAUAAUACAGGAGGAGGUUCAGAGAGUGUCCGAGCUGCUGAACCAAAAUGCUUCCAUGUUCCGCACUGCUGGCUCCUCUGGGACCUCUUCCUCUGUAUCUCUUCCUCUGGCUGUUGAUAAGCAUCUCUCACCAUCCUCUACCAAAUUCAUCAACCCUUAGGGGAGGGUCAAGGGAACCUCUUGUUUAUAGCCAGUCAGUCAGAAGCACAGGUGACAACCUGGACUUGUCAUUGGUACCUGAAGUGGAGGAUGGUCUUGUGGGACUGAACUAUUAACCUGUGCAACCUGAUGCUACUUCUGGUCGAUAUGCCAGAACUGAUUAGAAUUGCAGGACACCCUACUCGUGUCCAAGAAUUGCAUGUUGGUGGAGGGAAAAAAACACACAUUAGAACUGGUGACCAAAUGAUUAUAUAGAUAAAUAUCUAAUAGCUUGAUGUAACCAAAGAAGUGUUAAAUGAAAACAGCUAAACAACUAAAAUAUAAACUCCAUUUUUUUUUUUUUUUUUUUUUUUUAAGGGCCACACCCCCAGCAUAUGAAAGUUCCCAGGCUGGGGGUCAGAUUGAAACUGUAGCUGCUGGUCUAUGCCACAGCCACAGCAACACCAGAACUGAGCCUCAUCUGUAGCCACGGCAAUGCCGGAUCCUUAACCCACUGAGCGAGGCCAGGGAUCGAACCUGCAUCCUCAUGGAUACUGAUUUGUUUCCACUGAGCCAUGACAGGAACUCCCUAAACUCCAUUUUAAAAUAUAAAUAUAUACACAACAUAGAGUGUGAAAUGAUACACAUUCUUGAACAGUGGAAUUAUGAAUGACCUUUAUUCUCGUAUACUUUUCCUUAUUUUUGUAAAAUACAUAAAAUGAUUAUAUCUCAAUUUAAAACUAGAAAAAUAGGAUGCAACUGACAAGGGCUUAAUGAUGCAACUGACAAAGGCUUAAUCUCUAAAAUAUGCAAACAACUUACACAACUCAACAGCAAAAAAGCCAACAACCCAAUUGAAAAAUGGGCAAAAGACCUGAAUAGAUAUUUCUCCAAGGAAGAUAUACAGAUGGCCAACAAGCACAUGAAAAAAUGCUCAGCAUCCCUGAUUAUUAGAGAAAUGCAAAUCAAAACUACCAUGAGAUACCACCUCACACCAGUCAGAAUGGCCAUCAUUCAUAAGUCCACAAAUAAAUGCUGGAGCGGUAUGGAGAAAAGGGAACCCUCCUGCACUGUUGGUGGGAAUGUAAGCUGGUACAACUACUAUGGAGAACGGUAUGGAGGUACUUUAGAAAACUUUACAUAGAACGACCAUAUGACCCAGCAAUCCCAUUCUUGGGCAUAUAUCCGGACAAAACUUUCCUUAAAAAAAAACACAUGCAGGAGUCCCCGUCGUGGCGCAGUGGUUAAUGACUCCAACUAGGAACCAUGAGGUUGCAGGUUCGAUCCCUGGCCUCACUCAGUGGAUUAAGGAUCUGGCGUUGCUGUGAGCUGUGGUGUAGGUCGAAGACACGGCUCGGAUCCUGCAUUGCUGUGGCGUAGGCGUAGGCGGGCAGCUACAGCUCCAAUUAGACCCCUAGCCUGGGAACCUCCAUAUGCCACGGGAGCGGCCCUAGAAAAGGCANAAAAAAAAAAAAAAAAAAAAAAAAAAAAA